GGAGUAUUGCCAGCCUGUUCUGAGAUGGCCUUAGGCUAAUGUAUCCUAGAGCUAAUCAACAUAUUUUUAGCUCUUUUGUAAAUCAGACCCACAAUCAUUCUGGUUGAUACGCUAAAGGAACCUGUAGGCAACUGUCAGGACUUUUGCAACUCACCCAAGGUAUAUUCUCAGGAUCCUCUCUAAUUACCUUAAGGAUAAAUAAAUGAGCCAAAUGCAGUUGACUACUUAUGGAAUAUCACAUAAGGACACACCUGAUAUUUCAUUGAUAAAGGGAACUUUCAGAUGAGAAAACUGAAGCUCAAAAAGAUGGACACUCAUGCCCCUGGUCACAUGGCUAAAAGUGGGGCAUCUUGGGUGCAAAUUGAGAUAUUAUGAUUCCCAGAUGACUGUGAACACUUGGAGGGCAAGAAUGGUCUUUUUACCUUUCUCCGUAACCCCAGCACUUAACAUAAACCAUGGCACAUAGUAAGCAUUUAAUUAAUAUGUGUUGACUGAAUGACCCUUUUAGUGAAGCAGUA